UAGUUCCUUUCUAGGAGACAAUGGGAUGGGAGACAGGUCUGACUAGCUAGAAGUGGAAAUGCUGGAUCCAGAGGAAGGCCUGUAGGCAUACCCUUAUGAUCUCUGCCCUGAGUAAUUGGCAGGGAGCUGGCAGGAACCCAGGAGGCCUCUGAGACUCUUAUUAAGCCUAGGAUAUACUUAGAAUUGCCAUCUUAAGUACAUCUAGAAGCCACAGACUGUACAUGUGAAACAUUGCAACAGAGUAUGUGGAAGCCAUAGCUGAUGUUUAAGGUGGAAUUGUUGCCCUUCUAGGUUUGGCAGGCUCAUUGCACCAGGGAACCAAACCACUGAUACUAUAACGUGUAGUGGGCUGAGUUAAUCCCAUAAAGUUUUUUAAACAGUUCCUGAUGUUUAUCCUGUAGAAGCAGAACUAACCAGUACCAGAGAUGCUUGGGGACAAAGUCUGCUUUGUUACAUUGGUGUGAAUCUGGAAAAACUCCAUUGACUUCAAUGUAGAUACUGAAGAUAGACACUGGUGUAACUGAGAGCAGAAGAUAGCCCAUAACGUACAAAUCAGAAGAAUAUAAAAGUUCUCAAUGCAAAAUUCUGCUACUGCAAAGAAGUGUCCACCCUCAAGUCUUCCAGCAUAAACAGAACUGGACUGUCACUCUGUUUACUUAAUCAAAAAGAAGUUUGGGAGAUAACUCGAUUACAGUGUAUAUGUACCUCCAUGGGGAGAAAAUAGUGCUUCAUCUAGCAGAGAAAGCUGUAGUAAGAACCAAUGAAUGGAAGUUGAAGCCAGACAAAUUCCAUGGCCCAUGUUAAGGUGAAAAGGGGAUCAUCUCAUCAAAAGUGAUUAUACAAUACACAUAUUUUGCUGCAUAUUUUUAAAUGCAAAAACUGCCAUUUUACCAAUAUUUCACAACAUGGAAAAUUUGGGGAGUAGGGUUGGGAGUUGGAGGAGCAAAUCAUGUCAAAUAGAAUGGUAAAAGUUUGAGUUAAAUUAUGGUGAAACACCAACUUUGAAUUUCAUCCAGCUCUGAAAUUAACAGCUGCACAGCUACUGAGGUGUUGUGUGCAAUGACUCUGACUUCCCAGGUUCUCUUGCAGAUGCUCACAUAAUUCGAGCACAGUUUAGCUAGCUCAUGACAUUAAAACCCUGCUGCUUUCUGAUGCUUUUGAAAGUCAGUCUAAGGGUCAGAGAGAUAAUGCUGUGAGAUACAAGCAAUCUGCUGAUCCUGUCUGUCCAUGACAAUCAUAUGGGUGAACAAGUACAGAGAGGACAUCUGAGGAAAAGGAAAAAUGUCAUUCCCACACAGCACGCAUCAACUGCCAGCUGGUAAGGGCCUGAUCAGAGCCCAUCAAACCACAGGAGACUUUCUAUUGCCUUUAGUGGGCUUUGGAUCAGGCGGCUCCUAAUGAAAAAGCUGCACAGGUCCAUUGACUGCAAACCCUGUAACUGCCUGAAGAGCAUGAGAGGCUGGGAGGGAGGAGUGGAGAAUGUAGACCAAAAGCCCAUGACUACUAUGGCAACACAUUUGUUGCUGCUGCACAUAUGCCCCAGGCCCUGUCUGGGUUGGAGAAAUGGAUUCCGUUUCUCCAUGUCAGUGAUGUUUCCCCUCCCAAAAUCCCUUUACUUGGGCAUUACCCAGAGAACAUGCAUGAAACCUAAUGGCACAAAAUAGCCUUACAUAAAUAAUGUGGGUAACGUAUAUUUAUAGUACGUACAAAUAGAAAACUAGCUCUUGACAUACUGAUAACCGAUACAGGUAGAAAAAAAUCUUUAAGAUUAAAAAUACAAUGGAUUGUUGGUGUAUAAUUUAAAAUCUCUCCGCUCCGUCUAUCCCCCCUUUCUAUCUGGAUAGCAUACUGGUGUGCUAUUGUAUAGUCUUAAUCCUGACUGCUGGGUUGUUGGCAUUUCAUUUUCCAGGGGGCAGAGAGAAACACUGAAGCUAUUUCCAGGAUAAAGAAUUAUAGGUACUAAAGAAUUAUAGAUACUAAAUAAAGAAACAGUACAUCAAAUAUGGGUCCUAGUUCCCAUCAUUCAUCUCAGUACGCAAACGUACACUAUAUAUAAUACAUACAUUCCCUAUGCAUGUUAGAGAUAAUAUACAUGCCCCCACUGACAUGGAAACCCUUUGAUGUCAUGGCCAAAAUUAGUAAGAUAUGUAUUGUGUUUUCAGAUGAAACAUCCAAAAUUACCUUAAAACAGCUGAAAAAUGACCUAGUAUCUAGACAGGAACUAGGAUAACUAAUAGGAUUUCUUAGAGUAAAUGAGUACCACCACUGGCUUUCACGGCUAGGUCCUAUUCACUCAUUUUACCCUGUAGGCCGCAGAAACAUUCUUGACUGAACAAUUUUUAAACUUCUAGGACUUCUGAGUUGAGAGAAGUAGCUUACAAAAACAGCCAAAAAACUCUCUGUAGCUGCUUUAAAAAAAUCCUGCAAUUGCCUUAAAAAUGGUUUGCCAAGCCACAGGCGACCCAUAGACCUAGCUGCACAGCAAUCAGUGUGUCAGGUCCCGUUAGAAGUUUCAUGGGUUUGGGUAGGUUUUGUUGCUCCCAGGUGUAAUCAAAUAUGGUUUUGUGUAUGUUAAUUUCCUUUGUUUUUUAACCACAGCACAUACAUAGCAAAAUGUGUAGCAUCUGAAGACUCAGUAGUGUCUAAGAGGUGAUCAUCAGCAUAACAACACUGCUCACGUGGUUUUGUUAUAGCAGUCUGUGUAACCAUCUGUCAUCAUACUGCUACUUGAGGUGCUAGUAUAUAAAUUGCUGUAAUAAAAUCUGUUUAAAAUAAUAGAAAGGGCCUCUCCCUCCAUAACCCCAGAUACAUUUUCUGUGCCCAAUCUGGAGAGCUCUUGGGUCUCUCUGAGAUCCUUCAUCUGCUUGCAGUGCCAAGUGUUGUGCCUCCAUUGUCAUAGCAGAUACUGGGUUUAGUCUAAGUAAUAGACAUUAUUCAGUCAUCUAGUGCCUUUUCAGUUUAUACUGCUGGCUAUGACCCAAAGAGCCCUCACUUCUGCUGUGUAAAUAACUAUUGUAUUAGUACCAUUGUAUAGUAAUACUGUGGUAAUUUAAUUUCAUACAAAAAUUUUCAAUUAUGUGAGCCACCAAAAGUUUUUAAAGUAACAAAUGUCAGUAUUUGUUCCUGACUUUAUGUUGUGAUAAACACGUUCUAAUGUUUCUGAAAAUAUCAAAUGCAUUUCAUUAUGGGCAAAAAUUGAAAAAAGCCUAAUUUAUCUAGUACAUAUCUCUCUCCAACUAGAUAUAUACUCAUUGCCUUUACCUUGUAUAGGCACUGAUCCUGAAAUUCUUACUUACAAAAUUAGUGCCAUUGAAUUCCUGGGACUGUUUGCAUAAUUAAGUACUACCCAUAGGAGUAAGCGUUGCAAGGAUCAGACGGACCCUUAAUGUCUACUCUGUGACACUUACCAACUACUGUAAGUAUUCUUAGACCUACAAAGUGUUUUGCUGUGGGUGCUAUUUGUUAAUUUCAUUCAGCAGUGGGAUGGAGUUAUAGCUGGUAGGUGACCAGACUCUGAAUAUGCUUACUCCCAUCCCACUCAACCACCGGCUCCAGAAAUUUGGGGACUUAGGAAAGCUAAUGAGGAAUAUAUCAGCAACCCUAAACCUUAUCAUGAGGUUAAAUCUAUAUCUGAGAUUGUAACUCGUGGUGCCAGAAGACAAAGAUCAAUGUGAUAAAAGCACGGAGUAAUAUUUAUCUAAAAUAUUUUACCAGGCAGUCCACUAAGGCAAACAUCUUGUUUGCAAAGACAACCUAGUGAGCUGAGGCAUUUUUGCUGCCAGUUAGAGGGGGUUUUACAGAACCCAUCAAAUGUGAAUUUAACCUCUGAUCUUUUGAACACAGGCCAUGGAAUCAGGUUUUCUAUAAAUCACUUAUAAUCAGCUCAGAGUAUGUGUAAAUCAGUUUGAGAGAGAGAGAAGUGCUGUUUGCAGAUGAGCGGCUCUAUCUCAUUCAAACUCUUGUGCUUAACCCUCUCUUCUCCCUCUCCAUCAUUUCAUUUAAUCAAAGUUCAAGGGAGAAUAUUUGAAAGGAGCCAGAAAAAUCGGAGCUCAGAAGGGAAAAGUUAUUCCCUAAAGAUGGAUUGUUAUCAAUAAUUUUCAGCAAUCAUUUCACCCAGACCUUUCAGGUUAAUUCAUACAGAAAAGAAAAAUUGCCCAAGGAAAUUCCUAGUUCAGUCUCAUUUACACUUCUGUGGCUGUGAGUUAGGAGUUAAAAAACAAAAAGAGGAUUAUGCUGUUAAUAUACUAUAUAUUAGUCAAAUAUUCACCACCUUUUGUAAUAUA